rnacentral:rRNA from 1 species
AUUGAACGCUGGCGGCAUGCCUUACACAUGCAAGUCGAACGGCAGCACGGGGGCAACCCUGGUGGCGAGUGGCGAACGGGUGAGUAACAUAUCGGAACAUACCCUAGAGUGGGGAUAACGUAGCGAAGUUACGCUAAUACCGCAUACGAUCUAAGGAUGAAAGUGGGGGAUCUUCGGACCUCAUGCUCAUGGAGUGGCCGAUAUCUGAUUAGCUAGUUGGUGAGGUAAAGGCUCACCAAGGCGACGAUCAGUAGCUGGUUUUGAGAGAACGACCAGCCACACUGGAACUGAGACACGGUCCAGACUCCUACGGGAGGCAGCAGU